UGAGGUCGGAGGCGACGAUGCAGGGAGGCACGACGCCGGCCGGCGUCACCUCCUCGGCGCCCUUCUCCUUGCCGCCGCCAAAUAAUAGCUCUUCACUACAACGAGCUGCGCCGGAGGUGAGCGGGGAGGGCGACAGGAGGAGCACCGGCGGCGGCUCGAGGCGCGGGCGGACGGGGAGGUGCUCGGGCGGCCGGCACCAGCGUCGGGUGGGGAGAAGAGGGGGGGCGCGCCGGCCGCCCUGCUCUGGGCGAGAGGGAGAAGGCGGAGGCCGUCAGGGAGGGAACCAGAUCCUCUACCGUCCCCGAAGGCACGGCAUGCUUUCCAGCAAAACAAGCGCACUGGGCCUGUAGCCUACGAGCAGAACGGCCCAACCUAAUGGCCUGCUGUUUUGAUUGUUUUUUCUGUUUAUUUCCAGCAGCUUGACAACGUUUGUCUAGAAAAACAGCUUGAGAACGGGAGCAUCACACGGUAGUUGAAUAGCAAAGCAAGAUUUUUUAUGCGGAAAACAUCCAACCUUUUUUUUUUGGAAAAAUCAGAUCUAUUACAAAAGUUCAUCGAAAGUAUAAAUCAUCUUAGACAUAAUAAAAAUUAGAUCGAGAUUCCGAAAUCAUCGAACGAUCACUAUUCAUCAUUUGUCGUAUAAGGAAUAUUUUUUGCGAGAAUUUUUUUAAUUUAUUCAUCAACUGUCAAGGUAGUAUAAAGAAAACAAGAAGUAAAAAAUGCAUCCAAGUCCGUAGAGACCUAGCAGUGACUACAAACACUAGAGCGAGCCGAAGUCAUUAUGCUAAAAGCAUCUCCAACAGCCGCGCUAAAUAAGCGACGCGCCGCAAAUUUGUGCUUUUUAGCUCGCGCGCAAUCGAUAUCCGGGCUCCAGCGGACACGCAAUAAGCACGCGCGGCAUAUAGAGUUCAGCACGCGGUCCGAAUCGCCAUCACGCGCUGUUUUUUUGGUCCUCGUGGCUGCUUUUUAGCGCGCAGCGCGUUGGGCGGCUGUCGGAGAUGUUCUAAGGCUUCAUAAAACCAGCGCAUUAGAACAACAAUCGCCACUGUUGAAGAGAGGCAUAUAUCGGAAGGAUCCAACCUGUAUGAGCACCUACAAGAGACUGAGCUAGCAUGGCAUCUUGAGAUUGUACAAAGUCACCACAGGCAUAGCAUCUCGAUUUAAUUUAUCAACUUUUAUAAUAGAUCUGAUCUUUCCGAAAAAAAAUAGGUUGGAAGUUUCCCGUAGAAAAAGAAAUAUUGCUUUGCUGUUCACAACGAACGUGUUUUUUUUAGACAAUCAAAACAAAUGUGUGAUCCUUCCGUUCCCAACCUUUUUUUAGAGCCAAACGUUGUUAAGCUGCUGAAAAUAAACAAUCAAAAUAGCAGGCCCAUUAGCUCGGCCGUUCUGCUCGUAGGCUACAGCCCAGUGCGCUGUUUUCCUGGAGAGCAAGAAGGCACGGCACCUCUGACGUGCCUUCGGGCACGGUAGAAGAUCUGGUUCCGUCUGGAAGGGGCGGCUGGGUGGAGAGGGAGAGGAGACGGUUGAGGUGUUGCAGGAGAAGGCGGCGCUCGGGACCUUAUCCCUUCCCUCGUUGCUAUAGUAACGCUCGCACGAAUAAAAGGAGACGGAGGUGAGCGGGGAGGGCGACAGGAGGAGCACCGGCGGCGGCUCGAGGCGCGGGCGGACGGGGAGGUGCUCGGGCGGCCGGCACCAGCGUCGGGUAGGGAGAAGAGGGGGGGGCGCGCCGGCCGCCCUGCUCUGGGCAAGAGGGAGAAGGCGGAGGCCGUCAGGGAGGGGCAGUUGGGUGGAGAGGGAGAGGAGACGGUUGAGGUGUUGCAGGAGAAAGCGGCGCUCGGGACCUU
rnacentral:lncRNA from 1 species